rnacentral:rRNA from 1 species
AAUAUUGGACAAUGGGGGCAACCCUGAUCCAGCCAUGCCGCGUGUGUGAAGAAGGUCUGCGGAUUGUAAAGAACUUUAAGUUGGGAGGAAGGGAUUUAGGUUAAUACCCUGCAGAUUUGACUUUACCAACAGACUAAGCACCGGCUAACUCUGUGCCAGCAGGCGCGGUAAUACAGAGGGUGCAAGCGUUAAUCGGAAUUACGGGGCGUAAAGCGUGCGUAGGUGGUUUAGUAAGAUGUGUGUGAACUCCCGGGGCUUAACCUGGGAACUGUUUUCAUAACUGCUGAGCUAGAGUACGGUAGGGGGUAGUUGAAUUUCCUGUGUAGCGGUGAAAUGCGUAGAUAUAGGAAGGAACACCAGUUGAGAAGGCGACUACCUGGACUGAUACUGACACUGAGGUGCGAAAGCGUGGAGAGCAAAC